rnacentral:lncRNA from 1 species
GGGGACCCAAUUCCUUUAUUCUAUUCUCACGAUCAUCGGCCGAUCACCGACGACCAUAACCUUCGGAGAAGGAAGGUAGGGAGGUGGGGAUCAUGACUCAUGGGUGCGGUGGCAUGGACAGCAGUGCUGAUGGUCAAAAAAGGGAGAGAGAAGGUUCGAUCGAACAGAGCAAAAUAGGGUCUCCUUUCCUUCUUGAGUUCCGGC